rnacentral:rRNA from 1 species
AUUGAACGCUGGCGGCAGGCCUAACACAUGCAAGUCGAACGAUUGGCGGACGGGUGAGUAAUGUCUGGGAAACUGCCUGAUGGAGGGGGAUCACUACUGGAAACGGUAGCUAAUACCGCAUACCAUCGGAUGUGCCCAGAUGGGAUUAGCUCGUAGGUGGGGUAAAGGCUCACCUCGUCGACGAUCCCUAGCUUGUCUGAGAGGAUUACAAGCCAGACGUGAACUGAGACACGGGCCAGACUCGUACGGGAGGCAGCAGUGGGGAGUAGUGCACAGUGGGCGCAAGCCUGAUGCAGCCAUGCCGAGUGUAUGAAGAAGGCCGUCGGGUUGUAAAGUACUUGCAGCGGGGAGGCGUUACCCGCAGAAGAAGCACCGGCUAACUCCGUGCCAGCAGCCGCGGUAAUAC